CUGCGAAUGGCUCAUUAAAUCAGUUAUCGUUUAUUUGAUAGUACCUUACUACUUGGAUAACCGUGGUAAUUCUAGAGCUAAUACAUGCUUAAAACCCCGACUUCGGAAGGGGUGUAUUUAUUAGAUAAAAAACCAACGCCCUUCGGGGCUUCUUGGUGAUUCAUGAUAACUUUACGGAUCGCAUGGCCUUGCGCCGGCGACGGUUCAUUCAAAUUUCUGCCCUAUCAACUUUCGAUGGUAAGGUAUUGGCUUACCAUGGUUUCAACGGGUAACGGGGAAUUAGGGUUCGAUUCCGGAGAGGGAGCCUGAGAAACGGCUACCACAUCCAAGGAAGGCAGCAGGCGCGCAAAUUACCCAAUCCCGACACGGGGAGGUAGUGACAAUAAAUACUGAUACAGGGCUCUUUUGGGUCUUGUAAUUGGAAUGAGUACAAUUUAAACCUCUUAACGAGGAACAAUUGGAGGGCAAGUCUGGUGCCAGCAGCCGCGGUAAUUCCAGCUCCAAUAGCGUAUAUUAAAGUUGUUGCAGUUAAAAAGCUCGUAGUUGAAACUUGGGCCUGGCUGGCAGGUCCGCCUCACCGCGUGUACUUGUCCGGCCGGGCCUUCCUUCUGGAGAACCUCAUGCCCUUCACUGGGCGUGUUGGGGACCAGGACUUUUACUUUGAAAAAAUUAGAGUGUUCAAAGCAGGCCUUUGCUCGAAUACGUUAGCAUGGAAUAAUAGAAUAGGACGUGCGGUCCUAUUUUGGUGGUUUCUAGGACCGCCGUAAUGAUUAAUAGGGACAGUCGGGGGGCAUCAGUAUUCAAUUGUCAGAGGUGAAAUUCUUGGAUUUAUUGAAGACUAACUACUGCGAAAGCAUUUGCCAAGGAUGUUUUCAUUAAUCAGUGAACGAAAGUUAGGGGGAUCGAAGACGAUCAGAUACCGUCGUAGUCUUAACCGUAAACUAUGCCGACUAGGGAUCGGGCGAUGUUCUUUUUCUGACUCGCUCGGCACCUUACGAG
rnacentral:rRNA from 1 species